rnacentral:lncRNA from 1 species
AUUACUAAGCUGUCCUCAGUUACCACCAAUAGUCAAUGAUGAACCUAUCAAAUAUCAAUUAUUUGAUUACUAAGCCAUCACCUACAACUGGAACAGGUCUUUUCAAAUUUCAAUAAAAAUGAAUCCUUCCAAAUGAAUCCCUCCCUCUACCCCAUUCCCAAGUCUUUAAAUUUCAAUACAACCCUUCGAGAUUGGUUAACACGAUGCUACUUUUAUAGGAGGAAAAAUUAAUAAUUCAUAUCGUUCGAGUUGAAUGAACAAAUAAAUAGAACAGAAAAUUAAAACGGAUAAAUCGCUGCUACUUUUAUAUGAUUCUCUAAUUUGAAUGAACAGAAAAGUGAGCGGAAUGACUAACCUUUUGGAAUCGAGGUUGGAUCUGGGAUGUCGAAAGGGUCGAGAGGAAGCUCGCAGGUCGCGAGGGAGGACUGAGGGAGAGCGAUUCUGACCGCUGGGCUAAGGCGUGAGUGAGCUGGGAUUGAGAAGGUACACAGGAAGAGGAGAGGAUGAGGGAAGGUGCUGUGAGGGACUCUCACAACGAACUGAACGAAGUAGGGUUAAUUUCAGAAAGAAAGAAAAUCGAUUGUUUUCUUAGUAGGGUAAAAACAACAUCGUCUUUUAUAUAACUUCCGUUCAGUUCCGAAACUGAACCAGACCAUUUCGAUUUGGUUCAGUUUUUUCAUUUUGGUUCGGUUUUUUCUUCGAUUCGUUUAUUUCAAUUACAGUUUGGCUUUCAAUCCGAUUUUUUCAGUUUUCGGUUUUUCGAACUCAACCCUAUUUUCCAUGCUAUGUGUCUGAUUGGUUGGAGUGUGUCAUUUGUUAGAUGCAAUAAGAAAUUAUUUUUAGGAUGCUGAAAUAUCUUAAAAAUACUUAAGAACAAUCGUUAAGAUAUUAUUAAAUUAAUAAUAUCCUAAGAAUAUCUUUCGAGAUUUUUAUUUCUUUGAACAAAUUAACAAAGGAGAUGUCUUCUACCCGGAAAGAUUAAAGGUAGGAAUCUGUUUUCUACAUUUAAUUUAUUUGUCAUUAUCUCAUUGUCUUUGACAGCAGAAUUUGAGAAAGUUGUAGUCUGCAGUUUAAGGCUUUUUGGUAGUUGAACGGAUAGUAGAAUAAAAUUGAGUAUCACUAAUUAUUAAGGGCAUUCUCGAUAAUAAUGAAUAAAAGUUUAUUCCAUAAUUUUACAGAUUAUUCUUUGCUCCACAAACCCCCUCUUACUAAGUGAUUUGAUGAAUCGACAUGCACUAUCUUUCUAGUCUUAUGUAAUGGCCAAGUCAACUAAAAGGGAAAAAUUAGGAAUUCUAGAUUUAUAAAUAAAAUGAUAUGCACUAUCUUUCUAGUCUUAUGUAAUGGCCAAGUCGAUAUGCACCUUGGAGAUUAAAAUUUUAAAUUAAAUCUACAAAUAAAACCUUCUAAUUAAAAUAGAACAUGAAUAAGAAAUAUGAGAUAAAAAUGUAAUUUCAUACAACCAAAUUUUGUUUUUUUUUUUCAAAGCUUCACCUACAUGUAAUCCUAACAUAUCUCUAAUUAAAAAAAUUAAAAAAAUUGUUCUGCUCCCAUAUUCUCUAUCACUCUCUUCCUCUCUCCUUCUAUUUCAAAAAAAAAAAUAUAUAUAAAUUCUCACACACUUUAUGUGUGCCCAUAUGCUAAUAUGAUUUAUAAAAUUUAGUCGUUCUAACUUUUCUCAAGUUUCAACAAUCAAAAGAAAAAAACACAAAAACAGUAUAAAGUGAGACUAAAAACUAGAAAAGAAUGAUUAUCAACGAACCCUUUAAGAUUUUUACGUGCAAGAGUUCACCAUCAUUUGCCUCAUAAAAAAUAGAAGUUUUCAAAGGAGUGACUUUCAUAGCCACAUCUCAUACAAUGUUUCCAUUCUAGUAGUUUAAAUAAAAUUAGCAUCAAUCCAAAAAUUCGUUUAAGCAAAUGAUUCCCCUAUCAUGUGAAAAAUUAGCAGUUAACUUGAUAGUGUAACAGACCGAUAAAAAUUUUGAAGAGUUCUGUUCACCGGAACAUUUUGCCCGUAGCUUUGCCGUUUUAAUUUUUAAUGGAUGAGAUCGGUCUGCCAUGCACAACCAGCACAAGUGGCAGCAGCCCACCAUCAUUGCCAUGCUGAAUGUCCUUAUCUAUCCUUCAGCUUAUUCUGGGACAUAAGUCUAUGUCUGGGUUGAUGAUUUGUCAAAUCUGUACUGAAAAAUGUUUAAUACUACUCCGAAAGUUUAAACUAUUGCCACGUUCUCCUCUUUUAUAUUUUCUAAACAUUUUUAUGAAAAAAAACAAAAAACAAAAAACACUAAUAAAAAGAAUUUGAAAAUUUUAAAUUUUAACGAUAAUGAUAAAAUAAAGAACAAAGUGAAUAGUAUUAAAACUAAUUUUCAAUGUAAAAAUAUGAUUUUUUUUUUUUAAAUGAACAGUACCAAAAGAUUUUCGUUAAAGUUCCUGAACAAAAACACGUCUGAUUAUAUGCGGUCAAAACACAAUAAUAUGUCACAGGGUUCGAUGACAGUUCAGAUUAUACUUACUAUUUUAGUUAGAUAUAAUAAUUUGUUAUCUGAUAAUACUGAUUGAAUUAGUUAGAGUUUUAGAGUAAUAUCAGACUAAAAUUUGACUAUUUAAUAAGUAUUGUAGAUUGUACCAGAUAAGAGAUUUUUAGAUUGCUAUCCCUUUUCGUUCAUUGCUCGGACCAAAUUAAAAAAAAAUUAAAAAAGAAAACCCAGGUCGUUUUCUUCCUUUCUACAUCAUCUUUCCCACCAGUAAACCCCAUUGAUGAACCUUCCAAUCUAGUAAAACCCACCUCUUACUGAAGAACACUACAAUCCAAGCUCCAAAUCCGAAAACUUUUUAAUUUCCAGGAAACAUGAUCCCGAUUGAUUGAAAUCCACUCUUCAAAAUCUAGCAUUCGGAUGCACAUGAAAAAUGGCAAAAAAAUUGCAUGUAGAUUGGGGUCUGCAUUAAAAAUAUCAAAAAACCCAGAAAUCCCAAACGGCAGACAAAUUAAAAAUUAAGCCAUGAAGAUAGACGAAGAAAAACUUCGGUUGGACAAGAAGAAGAUUGAACAUAGAAGAAGCAGAUUCGCUAGAGCAAGUCCAUCGGUGUCAACUCAGAUUCGCCAAAUGAUUCAACAUAAGAGCAGUUUCACCCCUAAAAAGUCAUCUGGGCAAUAGAGAAUUCAAUUCCCUGAAUACAAACUCUAUUCUUAAAUUGAAUAAUUAGGCAAUUUGUAUUAAAAUAUUUUUUUUAUAAAAUAAUAAAAAUAACUUAUUUUUAAUUUUGAAUAGGAUUUUUAAAUUUGAAUACAAUUUUGUGAAUAGAUUUUUAAGUUUAUUUGCAAGCAUAAGUAUGUGAAAAUUUUGUAAGAAAGAUUAGUUGAAAGUAAUUGCAAAUAUUGCAAUGUGGUGUAAGGCGGAGGAUAAUGGUUAGAUAUAUAUAUUUUUUAAUAAUUUUUAUUAACUUAACUAAUCUGGAUCAUUAGACUACAAAAAUUUUGAAAUUCCAUAGCCUAGAUUUUGACAUGUGCC